GUGGAGCAUGUGGCUUAAUUUGACUCAACGCGGGAAAUCUUACCGGGUCCGGACACACUGAGGAUUGACAGGCAAUAUUAGCACUUAGCUUCGGCGACGUGUUAUGUUAAAUAUGCUAGUCCUUUCAUGAUUAUGUGAUAGGUGGUGCAUGGCCGUUCUUAGUUCGUGGAGUGAUCUGUCUGCUUAAUUGCGUUUCACCAAGGGCCUAUAAUUUUACGUGUGUUGCGGCACUUUGACCCCUCUUUUUUUAAAGAGCGCGUGUCUUGGUUUGCUUAGCUCGCACAAUUAGGUCCUGAAAGCAACGAACGUGACCGCAACCUCUUGUUGCCUUUAUACCAAACGUGCAUAUGCAAUUUUUUUAAAUUGCUUUGCGCGCAAAAAGGCUUUAAACUAGAGGGACCGCUGUUACUUUCUUAAACCAGAGGAAGGUUGCGGCAAUAACAGGUCUGUGA
rnacentral:rRNA from 1 species